rnacentral:rRNA from 1 species
UACGUAGGGUGCGAGCGUUGUCCGGAUUUAUUGGGCGUAAAGAGCUCGUAGGCGGCUCGUCGCGUCGACCGUGAAAACCCGCAGCUUAACUGCGGGCUUGCGGUUGAUACGGGCGGGCUAGAGUUCGGUAGGGGAGACUGGAAUUCCUGGUGUAGCGGUGAAAUGCGCAGAUAUCAGGAGGAACACCGGUGGCGAAGGCGGGUCUCUGGGCCGAUACUGACGCUGAGGAGCGAAAGCGUGGGGAGCGAACAGG